UCAAGCCACGUAUGCAUACGUACGACUAAAAGGAAAGUAGAUCAUCACAAAAUUAUCUUGCCAAAGCAGUCAAUGCAGGUUGACAGCGUUUCGAUAUAAAACGGCUUUAAGUUCACACGGCCUAUCAAGAGUUUGUUUGGUGAAGUGAUCAAUUUUUACUUCCUUAUUUUCCCGAGAAAACCCCUGAUUUUCCCGGGAAAGUUGUUUCUUCGAUCGAACCCUCAUAUAUCAAAGUUCUUUAUUAUAUUUGUUGAGGAUGGGGGAUUACGGAAUUAGUGACGAUGAUUAUUGUUAUUCUUACGGUGAUGACGAUGACGAUUAUGAUAUUAGAGAUGAAUUACACGCAGCUGAGAUUGAGAGCUGUGUGCCCCAAUCUACUGCUUCAUCUAGUAAGGUAAUUACAAAAGAGUCACUCUUGGCUGCGCAGAGGGAAGACUUGCUGAGAGUAAUGGACUUGCUAUCACUGAAGGAACACCAUGCUCGAACCUUACUUAUCUAUUACUGUUGGGAUGUUGAAAAGGUGCUUUCAGUAUAUGUAGAAUAUGGGAAAGAGAGAUUAUUUGCCCAAGCAGGUGUAACAAUUCUGGAGCAAGAUGACCUUUCUUCAUCUGAAUUACCAUGCACAGUUUCCUGCAAUAUUUGCUUUGAUGAUGUGUCUGCUGAGGAAGUAACUACAAUGGACUGCGGUCACUACUUUUGCAACUCUUGUUGGACUGAGCAUUUUAUUGUGCUGAUAAAUGAGGGCCAGAGUAGACGCAUUAGGUGCAUGGCACACAAGUGCAAUGCUAUCUGUGAUGAAGCAAAAGUAAGACAAUUAGUUAGUGAAAGGGAUUCUGAUCUUGCUGAGAAAUUUGAUCGCUUCCUGUUAGAAUCAUAUAUUGAGGAUAAUAGAAGAGUUAAAUGGUGCCCUAGCGUCCCACAUUGUGGAAAUGCAAUAAGAAUUGAGGUUGAUGAACUUUGUGAGGUGGAAUGUGUGUGUGGGCUACAAUUUUGUUUUAGUUGUUCAUCUGAAGCACACUCGCCAUGUUCAUGUCAAAUUUGGGCACUCUGGUCCAAGAAAUGCCAGGAUGAAUCCGAGACAGUUAAUUGGAUCACAGUUCACACUAAACCUUGUCCGAAAUGUCAAAGGCCUGUUGAAAAGAAUGGAGGUUGCAACCUUGUAUCCUGUUUUUGUGGGCAAGCAUUUUGUUGGCUUUGUGGUGGCGCCACUGGUCUGGAACACACUUGGACAGAAAUUGCUGGUCACAGUUGUGGGCGAUACAAAGAAGAUCUUGAACAGGAUGUUGAGUGUGCGAAGCGGAGCCUUGAGCGCUACACUCACUACCACAACCGUUACAAGGCUCAUAUAGAUUCUCUUAAGCUUGAUUUUAAGAUGAAGGAAACUAUACAGGACAAAAUAAACAUAUUAGAGGGUACUGAAAUAUCAUCUAAAGACUUCAGUUGGAUAAUAAGCGGACUUGAUAGGCUCUUCAGAUCGAGGCACAUCCUUUCAUAUUCAUACCCUUUUGCAUAUUACAUGUUUGGUGAUGAUUUGUUCAGAGAUGAAAUGACAAAAGAGGAAAGGGAACUAAAACAAAAUUUGUUUGAGGCCCAACAGCAGCAAUUUGAGGCACAUGUUGAGAAGCUUUCCUCAAUUUUAGAAGAGAAAUUUCAUUUAUAUACUGAGGAUGAAAUUAAGGAUUUGAGACUAAGGAUAAUUGCUCUGUCAGUGACCACUGAUAAUCUCUGCCGAAAUUUGCAUGAGUGGAUCGAGACUGAUCUUUUGGGUUCACUCAAGUAUACAGUCCAUAAAAUCGCGCCUUACAAGUCAAAGGGUGUUGAGAAAGCUUCAGAACUUCCCAACUGUUUGGGCACUUAAUCUGUUGGAAUAUUGAAGCAUGAGAUGAAGGGAAGAAUUUUAGUAUGGAUGGUAGAUAAACGAAGCCUGUGCUCCACUGUAUAUUUUUAGGUGAGAAAGCAACUGGGAAGACAUACUUGAUCUCGACUUGCUCAUAUGGCUUUUCUACGGGUUGAAGUUACAGCUGCCCAAAGAUUGGUUCAUCAAUAAUGCUAUACUCUUCUUGUCAAUAAAAAAUUUUCUUUCCCUGUUGCUUAUCAUAAUUUUGGGUUAUUGGCAGAUCUUUCUCAUGUAAAAAGCCUCUUAGAAUUACAUGCAGUUGAAUAUUUAUACUAAGAUUGAAAGUAAUGUUUAGAAGGUUAUAUUAUUCUAUUAAUUAGGUUGAAUAAUACUACUGAAACUGAUUCGCAUUCCA